rnacentral:rRNA from 1 species
UAGGGAAUCUUCCGCAAUGGACGAAAGUCUGACGGAGCAACGCCGCGUGAGUGAAGAAGGAUUUCGGUUCGUAAAACUCUGUUGUUAGGGAAGAAAAAAUGUAUAGUAACUAUAUACAAAAGAGACGGUACCUAACCAGAAAGCCACGGCUAACUACGUGCCAGCAGCCGCGGUAAUACGUAGGUGGCAAGCGUUGUCCGGAAUUAUUGGGCGUAAAGCGCGCGCAGGUGGUUUAGAAAGUCUGAUGUGAAAGCCCACGGCUCAACCGUGGAGGGUCAUUGGAAACUAAUAACUUGAGUGCAGGAGAGAAAAGUGGAAUUCCUCGUGUAGCGAUGAAAUGCGUAGAGAUUAGGAGGAACACCGGUGGCGAAAGCGGCUUUUUGGCCUGCAACUGACACUGAGGAGCGAAAGCGUGGGGAGCAAACAGG